rnacentral:lncRNA from 1 species
UAUAAGUAUGUCCUUGUAUUAUGUGUUUUUGAGUGACAAUCUUCUUUUUUCUCUUAUCUUUUUAUUUCUCAUUAAAUUCAGGUUGUCCAAACACUUGUUUCAGUGGAAUUGACUAGAAAAUCAAUAAUCCAAUUAUGCAGAAUUAUACUUUCUCAAAAAAUGGUGGUGUGCUCUGGCAUGUACUCAUAAAGACAAAGAAAGGGAAGAUGGAAGGGCAAGAAGAAGGGAGGAAAAAACUGAAACCUAAAAGUCUUUUUCCAUUUUGAGAAAACUCAAGAAAUCUGCCUGUGAAAGUGAAGAAGAAAUAGGAUAAAACCUGGAUGGCAUUUCUGUGUGAAGUCAGAGUUUUUCUAUAGAUAUAGGAGAUCCUGGAUCAUUAUGAAAAUCAAGAAGAAAGAUCAUCAGAAUGGCAAACACUCAGAAGGAAUAUAUUCAAGGGCACAAGCGGAGGCACUAGCACUAACAGGAUAAAGGCCCACUUUAUUCUCUAAGACUAAAGCAGAUGAGAAGAGGUUUCAAUAUAUUGUUGAGAGGAUAUUCUAGAAAUGGGUAGAAAUGGAAAUCAUGAUGGAAGUUCU